rfam:D.teissieri bicoid (bcd) mRNA, 3' end.
UGCCGAGUUUUUUUAAUGCAUUUUCUACUGACAUAAACUUAAGUCCAACUAUUUGGAAACUUUAUUUGUAAAGCGCUCUUUGAUCUCAAUGCUGUCUGGCUGGACAUUUGCCAAAGCCCAUGAACGCCCUACCAGACACUGUUGAGACAAAUAUGGGCUUUAAUUGAACGCUUUACAGAAGAAGUUUAUAAAUAAAUACAAAAUGCAUUUCUUUCUUAUAACUCAGGCCAACUGGCAUAGCAAGUAAAACUGUACUGAUCUAAAUGAAAAAUGUUUCUCUUCCUAAUAAUCGCAGGUCCUUCAAUGGACAUUAUCUGCCAUUAUCAGUCGAAGAUCGAACGUUUAACCAAUAAUGUUCUUCAGAAUAUUUUUAAGCUUUGUUAUGCCACAGUUUACAUGUUACAAUUAAACAUUCUUCACGUGAGAAUUGUUUACAAAUUGUCUCUAAACACAUGUGAAUCACAGGCCUCAGUUAUCUAAACGAAAUCUGUACUUACUUUCAGAAUGUAAGAGAGUUUUAUCAAUUGAAAAUGCAUUCAAAAUAUGUGUCU